GGGGUGCCAGCCUUGGCGGGGAGAUGGGAGUGGGAAAGCCGUGCAGCCCUGGGGCAGCCGGGCGCCAGGGCUGAGGCCAGCCCUCCCUGAGAUCAAGUGUGCGCCGGAGGGCAGGUUUGAUGAGCAGCCCACGCUGUGAUUUCCUUUCCACAAAAAUGCUGGUACCCAGCUUGGCACACAGGCUGGGGCUGCAGGGGGGUCCAACACACCGGUGACAGCGUUCCAAUUCGGAGCCCGGAGCUGCGUAUUUCACCCCUGCCGAGGAGAGACUGUGGGUGCGGUCCACGUCAUGCAGGACUGCUUAGUACGUGACAUCUGUAAUGGCAACCGACCAGAGCAUGAGAAGCGGACCUUCUGCGGCUGGUGAGGCAGAUGACAACCUGGCUACCCACCCCAGAGGUGUGGUUGUAUAUGUUAAACAACCAGCCACACACAUACACACACACACACACACACACACACACACACACACAUACACACACACCUUCCCCCCAAAAAGUGAGAGAAGCCGGAUUUGGAGUGCUUGCCGAUUUCUGUGGUGUAAACCCUUCUGCCACGGCUGAUUUCAAGCUCCUCAUCUGACAUUGAUGAACUUGAGAUGGAAUUGAGAAACCAGCGCGUUCCUGCAAACCUGAAGGAGCCAGCCCCAGCACACGGCUGUGACACGCACAGGCCCGAAUCCUGUCUCCGCUCCCAGGAGGGAAACCAGAGACCGAGACCGAGACCGAGACCGAGACCAAGAAAUGAAGUGAUGUAGGCUGUGCAUCUGAAAACAAUUGUUAAAAGGGUAAGGGAAACAUUAAAAAAAAAAAGGCAUUGAGAUCUUGAGGAGUUA